GAUCGUAUAGCUCAGUUGGUCAGAGCGUGGUACUAAUAGAUUCUUUCCGAAUCCAUCAAGUUAAUGCCAAGGUCGAGGGUUCAAGCCCCUCUAUGAUCA